CGGCGGACGGGUGAGUAAUACUUAGGAAUCUGCCUAUUAAUGGGGGACAACAUCUCGAAAGGGAUGCUAAUACCGCAUACGCCCUACGGGGGAAAGCAGGGGAUCACUUGUGACCUUGCGUUAAUAGAUGAGCCUAAGUCGGAUUAGCUAGUUGGUGGGGUAAAGGCCUACCAAGGCGACGAUCUGUAGCGGGUCUGAGAGGAUGAUCCGCCACACUGGGACUGAGACACGGCCCAGACUCCUACGGGAGGCAGCAGUGGGGAAUAUUGGACAAUGGGGGGAACCCUGAUCCAGCCAUGCCGCGUGUGUGAAGAAGGCCUUAUGGUUGUAAAGCACUUUAAGCGAGGAGGAGGCUCUCUUGGUUAAUACCCAAGAUGAGUGGACGUUACUCGCAGAAUAAGCACCGGCUAACUCUGUGCCAGCAGCCGCGGUAAUACAGAGGGUGCGAGCGUUAAUCGGAUUUACUGGGCGUAAAGCGUGCGUAGGCGGCUUUUUAAGUCGGAUGUGAAAUCCCCGAGCUUAACUUGGGAAUUGCAUUCGAUACUGGGAAGCUAGAGUAUGGGAGAGGAUGGUAGAAUUCCAGGUGUAGCGGUGAAAUGCGUAGAGAUCUGGAGGAAUACCGAUGGCGAAGGCAGCCAUCUGGCCUAAUACUGACGCUGAGGUACGAAAGCAUGGGGAGCAAACAGGAUUAGAUACCCUGGUAGUCCAUGCCGUAAACGAUGUCUACUAGCCGUUGGGGCCUUUGAGGCUUUAGUGGCGCAGCUAACGCGAUAAGUAGACCGCCUGGGGAGUACGGUCGCAAGACUAAAACUCAAAUGAAUUGACGGGGGCCCGCACAAGCGGUGGAGCAUGUGGUUUAAUUCGAUGCAACGCGAAGAACCUUACCUGGUCUUGACAUAGUAAGAACUUUCCAGAGAUGGAUUGGUGCCUUCGGGAACUUACAUACAGGUGCUGCAUGGCUGUCGUCAGCUCGUGUCGUGAGAUGUUGGGUUAAGUCCCGCAACGAGCGCAACCCUUUUCCUUAUUUGCCAGCACUUCGGGUGGGAACUUUAAGGAUACUGCCAGUGACAAACUGGAGGAAGGCGGGGACGACGUCAAGUCAUCAUGGCCCUUACGACCAGGGCUACACACGUGCUACAAUGGUCGGUACAAAGGGUUGCUACCUAGCGAUAGGAUGCUAAUCUCAAAAAGCCGAUCGUAGUCCGGAUUGGAGUCUGCAACUCGACUCCAUGAAGUCGGAAUCGCU
rnacentral:rRNA from 1 species